AUUGAACGCUGGCGGCAUGCUUUACACAUGCAAGUCGAACGGCAGCGCGGGCUUCGGCCUGGCGGCGAGUGGCGAACGGGUGAGUAAUGCAUCGGAACGUGCCCAGUAGUGGGGGAUAGCCCGGCGAAAGCCGGAUUAAUACCGCAUACGACCUGAGGGUGAAAGCGGGGGACCGAAAGGCCUCGCGCUAUUUGAGCGGCCGAUGUCGGAUUAGCUAGUUGGUGGGGUAAAGGCUUACCAAGGCGACGAUCCGUAGCUGGUCUGGGAGGACGACCAGCCACACUGGGACUGAGACACGGCCCAGACUCCUACGGGAGGCAGCAGUGGGGAAUUUUGGACAAUGGGGGCAACCCUGAUCCAGCCAUGCCGCGUGCGGGAAGAAGGCCUUCGGGUUGUAAACCGCUUUUGUUCGGGAAGAAAUACUCCGGGCUAAUACCCCGGGGGGAUGACGGUACCGGAAGAAUAAGCACCGGCUAACUACGUG
rnacentral:rRNA from 1 species